AGCAUAUCAAUAAGCGGAGGAAGAUCAUUACCGAGUUUUCGAGCUCCGGCUCGACUCUCCCCCCUUUGUGAACGUACCUCUGUUGCUUUGGCGGCUCCGGCCGCCAAAGGACCUUCAAACUCNNUCANUAAACGCACACAUCUGAUAAACAAGUUAAUAAACUAAAACUUUCAACAACGGAUCUCUUGGUUCUGGCAUCGAUGAA
rnacentral:rRNA from 1 species